GGUUACCUUGUUACGACUUCACCCCAGUCAUGAAACACAAAGUGGUAAGCGCCAUCCCGAAGGUUAAGCUACCUACUUCUUUUGCAUCCCACUCCCAUGGUGUGACGGGCGGUGUGUACAAGGCCCGGGAACGUAUUCACCGUAGUAUGCUGACCUACGAUUACUAGCGAUUCCGACUUCAUGGAGUCGAGUUGCAGACUCCAAUCCGGACUACGACGAGCUUUAAGGGGUCCGCUUACCUUCGCAGGUUCGCAUCCCUUUGUACUCGCCAUUGUAGCACG
rnacentral:rRNA from 1 species